rnacentral:rRNA from 1 species
ACGUAGGUGCCUCGCGUUGUUCGGAAAGAGUGGGCGUAAAGGGUUCGUAGGCGGUUUAUUAAGAUUGGUGUGAAAUCCCAAGGCUCAACAUUGGAACUGCAUUGAUUACUGAUGAACUAGAGUGUCGUAGAGGAAAGCGGAAUUCCAGGUGUAGCGGUGGAAUGCGUAGAUAUCUGGAAGAACACCGACAGCGAAGGCAGCUUUCUGGGCGAUAACUGACUCUGAGGAACGAAAGCAUGGGGAGCAAACAG